AGGACGAACGCUGGCGGCGUGCUUAACACAUGCAAGUCGAGCGAUGAAGCUUCCUUCGGGAAGUGGAUUAGCGGCGGACGGGUGAGUAACACGUGGGUAACCUGCCUCAAAGUGGGGGAUAGCCUUCCGAAAGGAAGAUUACUACCGCAUAACAUAAGAGAAUCGCAUGAUUUUCUUAUCAAAGAUUUAUUGCUUUGAGAUGGACCCGCGGCGCAUUAGCUAGUUGGUAAGGUAACGGCUUACCAAGGCAACGAUGCGUAGCCGACCUGAGAGGGUGAUCGGCCACAUUGGAACUGAGACACGGUCCAGACUCCUACGGGAGGCAGCAGUGGGGAAUAUUGCGCAUGUGGGAAACCCUGAUGCAGCAACGCCGCGUGGUUGAUGAGGGUCUUCGGAUUGUAAAGCCCUGUUUUCUGGGACGAUAAUGACGGACCACAGGAGGAAGCCACGGCUAGCUACGUGCCACAGCCGCGUUAAUACGUAGGUGGCGAGCGUUGUCUGGAUUAACUGGUCGUAAAGGCUGCGAAGGAGAAUGUUCAACUGGGAUGGGAAUACCCCGGGCUUGACCUGGGGGCUUGCAUUCCGAACUGGAUAUUCUAAGUGCAGGAAAGGAAAACCGAAUUCCUAGUGUAGCGUGGAAAUGCGUAAAGAUGUGAAGAAACACAGUGUCAAGCGGGCUUCUGGACUGUAACUUGAGCUGAAGCCAAAUGCGCGGGAGACAAACAGGAUAGUACCUUGGAAGUCACGGCCCGG
rnacentral:rRNA from 1 species